UACGGAAGGGGCGAGCGUUGUUCGGAAUCAUUGGGCGUAAAGGGUGCGUAGGCGGCGCGGUAAGUCGGGUGUGAAAUCUCGGAGCUUAACUCCGAAACUGCAUUCGAUACUGCCGUGCUUGAGGACUGGAGAGGAGACUGGAAUUUACGGUGUAGCGGUGAAAUGCGUAGAUAUCGUAAGGAAGACCAGUGGCGAAGGCGGGUCUCUGGACAGUUCCUGACGCUGAGGCACGAAGGUCAGGGGAGCAAACGGG
rnacentral:rRNA from 1 species